rnacentral:rRNA from 1 species
UACGGGGGGGGGCAAGCGUUGUUCGGAAUUACUGGGCGUAAAGGGCUCGUAGGUGGCCAACUAAGUCAUGCGUGAAAUCCCUCGGCUUAACCGGGGAACUGCGUCUGAUACUGGAUGGCUUGAGUUUGGGAGAGGGAUGCGGAAUUCCAGGUGUAGCGGUGAAAUGCGUAGAUAUCUGGAGGAACACCGGUGGCGAAGGCGGCAUCCUGGACCAAUACUGACACUGAGGCACGAAAGCUAGGGGAGCAAACGGG